GGUCGCGGGGCCGGGCGGGCUCCCCUGGCUGUCAGCCGCGCUGCCUUCCCGGGCCCGCGGGCUGUCACCUCCGGGCUCGCCUGGCCAGCUACUCGGUCAGCCAGUCGGGCUCAGCGGGCCAGGCAGCCAGCCAGUCAGCUCUUCAGUCAGCCAGCUUUCCCGCCCGUCAGCCCGCUGGUGAAUUGGUCUGUUCUCUUGACCGUCCAGUCAGCCCUUCUGUCAGUCAGCAAUCCUGUCAGUCAGCUCUCCUGUCAGUCAGCCGGCCGCGUCAGCCAGCCCGCGAGCCCUCCCGUCAAGUGAGCCCGCCUAUCACCCGCCCAGUCAGCCAGCGCGCUGUCAGCUAGCCAGUCGGUCGCUAGUCAGGCCUCCUGUCAGUCUGUUGCAGUUUUUAAAUUUGCUUCAGAGAGUCUCCUAUAAAGAGGCAGCUGAUGCCGAAAUGCAGGUUUCAGUGUGGAAUAACGUAUACAAAGACAUUUCUAGAAUGCUUGAAGAAAAUGAAAAAUACAGACUUAGGCUUAAAUGUCAAAGAUCAUCUAAUGAAAGUAAGUUAACACAGUUCAUUGUUUAAAGAAGACCGGCUUCUAGUAACAGUUUAGUUAGCCUUGGAUCACAUUAGGCUAGUAGUUUUCCUAAUUGUCAGAUUUAAUGUACACAACUACAGAAAUGAGAUUACCA
rnacentral:lncRNA from 1 species